rnacentral:rRNA from 1 species
GGUUAAGCGACUAAGCGUACACGGUGGAUGCCCUGGCAGUCAGAGGCGAUGAAGGACGUGCUAAUCUGCGAUAAGCGUCGGUAAGGUGAUAUGAACCGUUAUAACCGGCGAUUUCCGAAUGGGGAAACCCAGUGUGAUUCGUCACACUAUCAUUAACUGAAUCCAUAGGUUAAUGAGGCGAACCGGGGGAACUGAAACAUCUAAGUACCCCGAGGAAAAGAAAUCAACCGAGAUUCCCCCAGUAGCGGCGAGCGAACGGGGAGCAGCCCAGAGCCUGAAUCAGUGUGUGUGUUAGUGGAAGCGUCUGGAAAGGCGCGCGAUACAGGGUGACAGCCCCGUACACAAAAAUGCACAUGCUGUGAGCUCGAUGAGUAGGGCGGGACACGUGGUAUCCUGUCUGAAUAUGGGGGGACCAUCCUCCAAGGCUAAAUACUCCUGACUGACCGAUAGUGAACCAGUACCGUGAGGGAAAGGCGAAAAGAACCCCGGCGAGGGGAGUGAAAAAGAACCUGAAACCGUGUACGUACAAGCAGUGGGAGCACGCUUAGGCGUGUGACUGCGUACCUUUUGUAUAAUGGGUCAGCGACUUAUAUUCUGUAGCAAGGUUAACCGAAUAGGGGAGCCGAAGGGAAACCGAGUCUUAACUGGGCGUUAAGUUGCAGGGUAUAGACCCGAAACCCGGUGAUCUAGCCAUGGGCAGGUUGAAGGUUGGGUAACACUAACUGGAGGACCGAACCGACUAAUGUUGAAAAAUUAGCGGAUGACUUGUGGCUGGGGGUGAAAGGCCAAUCAAACCGGGAGAUAGCUGGUUCUCCCCGAAAGCUAUUUAGGUAGCGCCUCGUGAAUUCAUCUCCGGGGGUAGAGCACUGUUUCGGCAAGGGGGUCAUCCCGACUUACCAACCCGAUGCAAACUGCGAAUACCGGAGAAUGUUAUCACGGGAGACACACGGCGGGUGCUAACGUCCGUCGUGAAGAGGGAAACAACCCAGACCGCCAGCUAAGGUCCCAAAGUCAUGGUUAAGUGGGAAACGAUGUGGGAAGGCCCAGACAGCCAGGAUGUUGGCUUAGAAGCAGCCAUCAUUUAAAGAAAGCGUAAUAGCUCACUGGUCGAGUCGGCCUGCGCGGAAGAUGUAACGGGGCUAAACCAUGCACCGAAGCUGCGGCAGCGACGCUGAUGCGUUGUUGGGUAGGGGAGCGUUCUGUAAGCCUGCGAAGGUGUGCUGUGAGGCAUGCUGGAGGUAUCAGAAGUGCGAAUGCUGACAUAAGUAACGAUAAAGCGGGUGAAAAGCCCGCUCGCCGGAAGACCAAGGGUUCCUGUCCAACGUUAAUCGGGGCAGGGUGAGUCGACCCCUAAGGCGAGGCCGAAAGGCGUAGUCGAUGGGAAACAGGUUAAUAUUCCUGUACUUGGUGUUACUGCGAAGGGGGGACGGAGAAGGCUAUGUUGGCCGGGCGACGGUUGUCCCGGUUUAAGCGUGUAGGCUGGUUUUCCAGGCAAAUCCGGAAAAUCAAGGCUGAGGCGUGAUGACGAGGCACUACGGUGCUGAAGCAACAAAUGCCCUGCUUCCAGGAAAAGCCUCUAAGCAUCAGGUAACAUCAAAUCGUACCCCAAACCGACACAGGUGGUCAGGUAGAGAAUACCAAGGCGCUUGAGAGAACUCGGGUGAAGGAACUAGGCAAAAUGGUGCCGUAACUUCGGGAGAAGGCACGCUGAUACGUNNNNNNNNNNNNNNNNNNNNNNNNNNNNNNNNNNNNNNNNNNNNNNNNNNNNNNNNNNNNNNNNNNNNNNNNNNNNNNNNNNNNNNNNNNNNNNNGAUGGAGCUGAAAUCAGUCGAAGAUACCAGCUGGCUGCAACUGUUUAUUAAAAACACAGCACUGUGCAAACACGAAAGUGGACGUAUACGGUGUGACGCCUGCCCGGUGCCGGAAGGUUAAUUGAUGGGGUCAGCGCAAGCGAAGCUCUUGAUCGAAGCCCCGGUAAACGGCGGCCGUAACUAUAACGGUCCUAAGGUAGCGAAAUUCCUUGUCGGGUAAGUUCCGACCUGCACGAAUGGCGUAAUGAUGGCCAGGCUGUCUCCACCCGAGACUCAGUGAAAUUGAACUCGCUGUGAAGAUGCAGUGUACCCGCGGCAAGACGGAAAGACCCCGUGAACCUUUACUAUAGCUUGACACUGAACAUUGAGCCUUGAUGUGUAGGAUAGGUGGGAGGCUUUGAAGUGUGGACGCCAGUCUGCAUGGAGCCGACCUUGAAAUACCACCCUUUAAUGUUUGAUGUUCUAACGUUGACCCGUAAUCCGGGUUGCGGACAGUGUCUGGUGGGUAGUUUGACUGGGGCGGUCUCCUCCUAAAGAGUAACGGAGGAGCACGAAGGUUGGCUAAUCCUGGUCGGACAUCAGGAGGUUAGUGCAAUGGCAUAAGCCAGCUUGACUGCGAGCGUGACGGCGCGAGCAGGUGCGAAAGCAGGUCAUAGUGAUCCGGUGGUUCUGAAUGGAAGGGCCAUCGCUCAACGGAUAAAAGGUACUCCGGGGAUAACAGGCUGAUACCGCCCAAGAGUUCAUAUCGACGGCGGUGUUUGGCACCUCGAUGUCGGCUCAUCACAUCCUGGGGCUGAAGUAGGUCCCAAGGGUAUGGCUGUUCGCCAUUUAAAGUGGUACGCGAGCUGGGUUUAGAACGUCGUGAGACAGUUCGGUCCCUAUCUGCCGUGGGCGCUGGAGAACUGAGGGGGGCUGCUCCUAGUACGAGAGGACCGGAGUGGACGCAUCACUGGUGUUCGGGUUGUCAUGCCAAUGGCACUGCCCGGUAGCUAAAUGCGGAAGAGAUAAGUGCUGAAAGCAUCUAAGCACGAAACUUGCCCCGAGAUGAGUUCUCCCUGACUCCUUGAGAGUCCUGAAGGAACGUUGAAGACGACGACGUUGAUAGGCCGGGUGUGUAAGCGCAGCGAUGCGUUGAGCUAACCGGUACUAAUGAACCGUGAGGCUUAACCUU